CAAUAGCGUAUAUUAAAGUUGUUGCAGUUAAAAAGCUCGUAGUUGGAUUUCUGAUCGAGACAUCAGGUCGGGUCCGAGAGGAUCAUGUACUUUGAUUUUGUUUUGAUCAUCCUUGGGGAGAGCAUUUCUGGCAUUCAGUUGUCGGGAUUGGGAUCCUCAUCGUUUACUGUGAAAAAAUUAGAGUGUUCAAAGCAGGCCUCGGCCUCUGAAUACAUUAGCAUGGAAUAAUAAGAUAGGACUUUGGUGGUCUAUUUUGUUGGUUUGCACGCCAAAGUAAUGAUUAAUAGGGAUAGUUGGGGGUGUUCGUAUUCAAUUGUCAGAGGUGAAAUUCUUGGAUUUAUGGAAGACGAACUACUGCGAAAGCAUUUACCAAGGAUGUUUUCAUUAA
rnacentral:rRNA from 1 species